AAGCUUAGAGGUUGAAAAGUAUCCGUCUCCAACGCGCCACCGAAAUGGUGGGUCGAGAAAUGCGGGCGACAAAAGGCGGUCCCGCCUAAGCUU
ncrna:unclassified sequences skipping-rope RNA